AUUGAACGCUGGCGGAAUGCUUUACACAUGCAAGUCGAACGGUAGAGGGGGCAACCCCUCGAGAGUGGCGAACGGGUGAGUAAUAUAUCGGAACGUGCCCAGUCGUGGGGGAUAACGUAGCGAAAGUUACGCUAAUACCGCAUACGAUCUAAGGAUGAAAGCGGGGGAUCGCAAGACCUCGCGCGAUUGGAGCGGCCGAUAUCAGAUUAGGUAGUUGGGGGGGUAAAGGCUCACCAAGCCAACGAUCUGUAGCUGGUCUGAGAGGACGACCAGCCACACUGGAACUGAGACACGGUCCAGCUUCCUACGGGAGGCAGCAGUGGGGAAUUUUGGACAAUGGCCGCAAGUCUGAGCCAGCCAUUCCGCGUGCAGGAUGAAGGCCCUCGGGUUGUAAACUGCUUUUGUACGGAACGAAAAGGUCUCUCUUAAUACGGGGGGCUCAUGACGGUACCGUAAGAAUAAGCACCGGCUAACUACGUGCCAGCAGCCGCCGUAA
rnacentral:rRNA from 1 species